GAUGAACGCUGGCGGUGUGCCUAAUACAUGCAAGUCGAGCGAACAGACGAGGAGCUUACUCCUCUGACGUUAGCGGCGGACGGGUGAGUAACACGUGGAUAACCUACCUAUAAGACUGGGAUAACUUCGGGAAACCGGAGCUAAUACCGGAUAACAUGUUGAACCGCAUGGUUCAACAGUGAAAGACGGUCUUGCUGUCACUUAUAGAUGGAUCCGCGUCGCAUUAGCUAGUUGGUAAGGUAACGGCUUACCAAGGCAACGAUGCGUAGCCGACCUGAGAGGGUGAUCGGCCACACGGGAACUGAGACACGGUCCAGACUCCUACGGGAGGCGGCAGUAGGGAAUCUUCCGCAAUGGGCGAAAGCCUGACGGAGCAACGCCGCGUGAGUGAAGAAGGUCUUCGGAUCGUAAAACUCUGUUAUUAGGGAAGAACAAAUGUGUAAGUAACUAUGCACGUCUUGACGGUACCUAAUCAGAAAGCCACGGCUAACUACGUG
rnacentral:rRNA from 1 species